AGACCCGAAACCCGGUGAUCUAGCCAUGGGCAGGUUGAAGGUUGGGUAACACUAACUGGAGGACCGAACCGACUAAUGUUGAAAAAUUAGCGGAUGACCUGUGGCUGGGGGUGAAAGGCCAAUCAAACCGGGAGAUAGCUGGUUCUCCCCGAAAGCUAUUUAGGUAGCGCCUCGUGAAUUCAUCUCCGGGGGUAGAGCACUGUUUCGGCUAGGGGGCCAUCCCGGCUUACCAACCCGAUGCAAACUGCGAAUACCGGAGAAUGUUAUCACGGGAGACACACGGCGGGUGCUAACGUCCGUCGUGAAGAGGGAAACAACCCAGACCGCCAGCUAAGGUCCCAAAGUCAUGGUUAAGUGGGAAACGAUGUGGGAAGGCCCAGACAGCCAGGAUGUUGGCUUAGAAGCAGCCAUCAUUUAAAGAAAGCGUAAUAGCUCACUGGUCGAGUCGGCCUGCGCGGAAGAUGUAACGGGGCUAAACCAUGCACCGAAGCUGCGGCAGCGAACGUAUCACCCAAGACAACUUUACGGAGUUGACGAUUGACGGAGCGAAGCGACGUCAAAGCGUUCAUUAAAGUCGAGUUGGCUUAGGGAUACGUUCGUUGGGUAGGGGAGCGUUCUGUAAGCCUGUGAAGGUGUGUCGUGAGGCAUGCUGGAGGUAUCAGAAGUGCGAAUGCUGACAUAAGUAACGAUAAAGCGGGUGAAAAGCCCGCUCGCCGGAAGACCAAGGGUUCCUGUCCAACGUUAAUCGGGGCAGGGUGAGUCGACCCCUAAGGCGAGGCCGAAAGGCGUAGUCGAUGGGAAACGGGUUAAUAUUCCCGUACUUGGUGUUACUGCGAAGGGGGGACGGAGAAGGCUAUGUUGGCCGGGCGACGGUUGUCCCGGUUUAAGCGUGUAGGUGUGUGUUCCAGGUAAAUCCGGUUCACUUUAACACUGAGGCGUGACGACGAGGCACUACGGUGCUGAAGCAACAAAU
rnacentral:rRNA from 4 species